UACGUAGGGGGCGAGCGUUGUCCGGAGUUACUGGGCGUAAAGCGCACGCAGGCGGUCUGCUAAGUUUGGAGUGACAGUUGGUGGCUUAACUGCCAAAGUGCUUCGAAAACUGACAGACUUGAGGGCUUCAGAGGGACACGGAAUUCCGGGUGGAGUGGUGAAAUGCGUAGAGAUCCGGAGGAACACCAAAGGCGAAGGCAGUGUCCUGGGGAGUACCUGACGCUCAGGUGCGAAAGCCAGGGGAGCGAACGGGAUUAG
rnacentral:rRNA from 1 species